UUUUCCGAGGAGCGUUGCGACGGACCAUCCAGCGUCCGCCAGGCUCGGAAAGCUUCACCAAGCGGCCGGGCCGCGGCGCAAUGCGCCGGCUCCCGCUUCCUGAACGGCGCUCACGUCAC
rnacentral:ncRNA from 1 species